AAAGCCAUUCCUUCCCCUCUCCCCCAGCUCCUGCUGAUCCACACUCCACCUCCUCACCUGCCCCAACGUCAUGUCUUCUUCUUUUAUUUUUAAUAGCUCAGAGAGUCCAAUUUGUGCUACCCAUAUACCUGUGAGUGUGGGGUCAUUAAUGAGUGCGUUUGACCUACUAGGGACACAUCCUUAAAGAAAACUGACUUUCCCUCCCCUAAAACCGCUGGCUCUGCGUAGCUCUUAGCUAUACAUUAGGGCUAGGAGCCCCUCCCCAUUCCCUGCUAGUUGGCUGGCUUGAUCCAGUUCAGGUCUCGUGCUGGCACGCACUGCUGCUCUGAGUUAAUGAGUACAAUAGCCCUGUCACGUCCAGAGCAUUGUGUUGCUCCAGUCCUCCCGACCUUUUGUCUCUUAUAAUCGAAAUAAUUACAUUUUCACAGGAAGUUACAAAACCAAUAAGAAAGAAAACCUAUGGACUUCCACACAUCCUUCCCUGCUCUAGGGGCAAGAGUUGUUCAGUGUGGUGUGACAACUUGUUUCAGCAUCAGGGGCAAGCGCCUGUAUAAGCGUUCAGCAAAGGCUGUCGGAGGAAUGAUUAGGAGUGUAUCGGCAAUAAAGACUGCUGAGACAUGCCAAACUGCCUGGAAAAAGCAUGAGUUCAGAAGCCUGGAAGAAGCAAAGACCAGCCAAGCAGCUUAGAAGAAACAAGAACCAGCCUAGCUGCCAGGAAGAGGCUCACACAAUGGAGGCAUGCAGAACUAACACCCUCUGACCUAUUGAGCUGCCUGCAGGCUGUGCAGUGGGCCCCAGGUUCCCAGUUUUUGUGAGCUGUCAACCAUGGGGGCUGUGGGAGGGCUUUGGUGAUGGAUCUGUCUUUGAGUCAUUUCCGCUCCUGUAAGUAACCUCACAUUUGUAUUUCUGUAAGUAAUCUGGAUAAACCUCAUUGGUCUACCAAGAUAGACUUUGGUAGUAUCUGUACUUGCGUCUGUCUUCAGCUUUUUAUCUGGGGCAGGUAGACCAUUUGUUUAAGUCUCCCCAGGAAUAGUGUUUCACAACAAACAUGGAAUUGUGACAUUUAAAAGAAGGGUGUGCCCUAGAGCUAUUUUGAGCCAUGGUUCAAGUCUAAAGUCAAAGGGUCAAACAUGACUUGUCUUCAUUUCCUAAGCCGCUGAAAAGAUUAGUUCUAGGCGACUGAACAAGAAACCAGAGAAGCUAGUGGGUGCUAGUGAGCUGCUCCCGAAUCCUCCCAGCAGGGUGACUAGCAGACUGGAAUGUUCUUCUCUUGGUAGCUGAUAACCAGGCUGACAGAGAUCCAGGAUGCCCCCUCCCCCAGGCAGAUAUAUGUUCAUUUUGGUCUGCUUGGAAACUAUUCAUAUAAAAAUGGCAUGAAUCAAUCAAUGAUUCAAAUAUAAGGAAAAACAGUUUUAUCUUACCACACAUAUCACCCUACCCCCCCUACCCUAUCACCCCAUCAGGCUAUGAAAGUUUGCUUAAAAUUUUCAUAGUGUCUGUGAGAAUGAGUUACUAAAAGAAAAAUGGCCACCCCUCCCCCGCUGCCUUAUUUCUCUUUGUUUCAACGUGCGCCCCUUUGCGUGAUUUCAGGUUCACUCUGUGUAGAAUUUAAAACAAAAUCUCAGUUACAGAUCCUGAGACAGUCCCUCUUGUCUUUGACCUCAUAUUCAACAUCUACCCCCACGCCCGUCCCUGUCGCCGUGCCUGUUCCCCUUUGCUUUGCCCUUGUAUCUUUUCAUUUCCCUGUCAUUGCACCCGGGAGGACACAGCGCUCCACUUCUGUUAGACGCCUUCUCUGCAGUCUUUGAUUAAACCCUUCUUUGAAGUCUGUGAAACUGGAUACUAACUGACCUGUAAG
rnacentral:lncRNA from 1 species